GAUAGCUCAGUUGGUUAGAGUGUGGUGCUGAUAAUGCCAAGGUUAUGGGUUCGAUCCCUAUACGGGCCA
rnacentral:tRNA from 1 species